rnacentral:rRNA from 1 species
UACAGAGGGGGCAAGCGUUGUUCGGAAUUACUGGGCGUAAAGGGCGCGUAGGCGGCCCGCUAAGUCGAACGUGAAAUCCCCGAGCUCAACUCGGGAACUGCGUCCGAUACUGGUGGGCUUGAAUCCGGGAGAGGGAUGCGGAAUUCCAGGUGUAGCGGUGAAAUGCGUAGAUAUCUGGAGAAACACCGGUGGCGAAGGCGGCAUCCUGGACCGGCAUUGACGCUGAGGCGCGAAAGCUAGGGGAGCAAACGGG